rnacentral:pre_miRNA from 1 species
AUAAUACUCCCUCCGUCCGGAAAUACUUGUCAUUGAAAUGGAUGUAUCUAGAUGUAUUUUAGUUCUAGAUACAUCCAUUUUCAUCCAUUUUGAUGACAAGUAUUUUCGGACGGAGGGAGUACCAA